AUUUUCCAGAUGGGGAAACUGACAGUGUAACGAAGUUCACACUGCAAGUCAACAGCAAAGCUAAGACUAGAAUUCAGGCCUUCCUAGCAUGUGCUCAGUGAAAUGUCUGCCUUCAAAAGGAUGGUGAAGACCAACAUCCCAAACUUGACCUUCUUUAGCAGUUAUAAUUUAAUUGGGUUCUGAAUGAAGGAUUUAGACACAGCCUACUUCUCCCUUACAGAGACAAUAAAAAGCACAGCUUGCAUAAGCCACAAAACACAUCCUGGCUCUGCAGCAGCAGUCAACAAACUCACUUCCCCAGGGCUAUGCAAAAAGCAAUCAAUGCUGGCUCACUUUGGGCAAUUUUGCUCUGUUAGUGAGUCUCAAAUCCUGUUCUGUGCACCACUGAUGGUUAUCAGAGAGCUGAUUGGUCUCUAAAUGGAAAGAGACGUUAUUAGCCUGGACAGGGCUAAAUUAAGGGGGGGGGAGGAAAUCAGUGAUGGGAUUCUUCCCAAGCUCGGGCCAUGACCCAAACUCCUCUCACUGACAAUGCCCCUCAUCACAGGCUGUGCAGAGCUUUAUAAUAUGAUUGCCUGUGCUGUGAUGAGCAGUAAACUAUAGUCAUCUGUGUGGAGAUUAAGUCAUCCUGAUUGGGCUUUCGAGUUAAUACUCAACUGAGAUUAAAUGGGGCACGUCACAUCUCACAUAAGGGCCAGGAAAGGAAGAGGGCAGUGGCAGCACAGCAAGCUCAUACGCUGCCUCUGCCUCUGGAGAGAUCCAUUUUGUGCUUCGGAAUCUAAGCUUUUGUUAAAGAAAAAAACAAAAACCAGAUUGAGUUUCCUUUUACAAGGAAAAAACAUGCAUGAAAAUGUAUAGUUCAGGCAAUCUUUCUUUACCAAUAAGCUAUAAUGGACUCCUCAUGUGGAAUCCAGGCUGCCGGCAUCCACACCACAGACAGACUCCAAAUUCUUUCAAGUUUGGUUAAAAAAACAGACAACCUAUUGAACAGUAAGAAAACGAUGAGGAUAAGACAGGAGAGAGUAUUAGGCAGGGACAUGUACAGAGUAGUCCAAAGCAGUAGUUCUCAAACCAGGGGUAUUCAUGCCCCUGGGAGGUACGCAGAGAUCUUCCGGGGGUAUAUCAACUCAGCUAGAUAUUUGCCUAGUUUUACAACAGGCUACAUAAAAAGCACUAGCGAAGUCAGUUCAAACUAAACUUUCAUACAAUGACUUGUUUAUCCUGCUCUAUAUACCAUACCCUAAAAUGUAAGUACAAUAUUUAUAUUCCAAUUGAUUUAUUUUAUAAUUAUAUGGUAAAAAUGAGAAAGUAAGCAAUUUUUCAGCAAUAGUGUGCUGUGACACCUUUGUAUUUUUAUUUCUGGUUGUGUAAGCGAGUAGCUUUUAAGUGAGGUGUAACAUGGGGGCAUGCAAGACAAAUCAGACUCCUGAAAGGGGUACAGUAGUCUGGAAAGAUUGAAAGCCAGGGGUCUAAAAAGAGUAGGCUCAGGGGAGGACAGAAAUCAGAGUCUGCCAAUAUUUGCAAGAUAACAUUAUAAGAAGAAAGGGAAUUACUUCCCAGUCUUGUCAUAUGAUAGGGUGUGGUGGGAUAGUCAAACUAAAGCAAGGUAAAGUUUUGCUUAAAUAUAGAAAAUAGUCUUCAAAUAGUAAAACCAAUGGGCACUGGAAAAGACUGCCAAGAGAGGAGGUUGUGGCACCAUCACCACAGAUGUUCACAAGGGACAGUAAAAGAGGAUGUUAGUGGGUACAAUGAAAUCAUUCAUUUUGCCAGUCUGCUAACUUCAAACUGGCUGACCCAGGUGUUUUGGUCCUGCUGACUAAAAAUUCACAUAACCCAAACUUUCUAAAUCUGUCACAGCUAAUCAGGGGAGAUAAGCAGAGGUUGGAGGAGGCAAGGAGAAGGGAAGGCUCUUUUCCUUAGGCUGCAAUGUCCUCAGACCUAGUGGGCUCCCUUGCAUGGGCAGUCCUGGAUGGCUGGUAGAUCCAUGUAUGUCAGGUUUCUUAGGUGGCAAUCCACAUUCACCACUUUUCAGGUAUGCAAGAAAGCACACUAAAGAGCAUGCUAUUUGCUGGAGUGUUUGGGCAGCAAACACCAGGGAGGGAGUAUUAUUUGUUAAAUACACAGAGAGUGACAGCCUAGGUAAGCUCAACAUGUAAAAUAAUGUAUUUGAGGGGAAAUUUUAAAUAGAUCUAGAUUCAAAUAAUUUUUCCUUCGAUGGUGCCAGAAGUGGUAGGACAGGAAUACUGGCUGAUUAUGGCAUGGGAUGGUUGUGCACGUCUCCAUCAAAUGAUUUCUUUUAUAUAUCUUUCCAAAGCACUUUCAAGGCAAAUGGCAUUCUAACGAGCUCAAGCUACCUUGCUGCCUCUUUCUCUGCCCCAACAGCUCCACUGGAAGAGUCUUGCCCACAUAGUUAGGGCAUGGCGCCAUCAGUGGGAGCAGCAAAAAGAGGAAGGGCUGUUCUCUGAGAUAAAACAACUGGCACAGAAACGCUACUGAUAUUCCUGCAGUGUUGGAGAACUGUAUCCUCAUCUGUCCCUGCACAAGCAGGAGUUUUUUUUAAAAGUAUGUUGACAUCAUGAACCUUGCCAGGUACCAGUCCAUGUUCACGUCUAUUUAGUGCCCUACCAAAAUUCACAGUCCAUUUUGAAUAAUUUCACAGUCAUAGGAUUUUAAAAGUCAUAAAUUUCCUGAUUUCAGCCAUUUAAAUCUGAAAUUUCAGGGUGUUGUAACUGUAGGGGUCCUGACCCAAAAAAGAAUUGUGGGGUGGUCACAAGGUUAUUGUGAGGGGGUUGCCGUACUGCUACUCUUACUUCUGCGCUGCUGGUGGUGGUGGCGGCUGCCUUCAGAGCUGGGCACCCAGCCAACAGCUGCCACUCUCUGGCCGCCCAGCUCUAAAGGCAGCGCAGAAGUAAAGGUAGCAAUACCACGAUCCUCCCUAAAAUAACCUUGUGAUGCCUCCCCCUCCCCCUUUUGGGUCAGGACCCCCCAACUUGAGAAAUGCUGAUCUCGCCUGUGAAAUCUGUAUUGUAGAGGGUAAAAGUACACAAAAGACCAGAUUUCACAGCAGGAGACCAGAUUUCAUGGUCUGUGACAUGUUUUUCAUGGCUGUGAAUGUUGUAGGGCCCUACUUAUGGUGACAGCACUUUCUGGCCUAUUUAGAGGGAGUAAAGAAUUGUGAUGUCUCCUAGCAAUAGCCCCAGCACUCUUGAGGAACCUCAGCAGAAUGCAGAGCUCUCCGUUAUUUCAGGGACACAGGUAACUUUGAUCCCAUGAGUCAGCAGCAAUCACUGGAGCUGUGCACAGCAGUGAAGCUGAGCAUCCCCUGCUAGGAUCUUCCCCACACAAGAAAGCUGUCAGGAGGAGCAGUCUGUAUUCAUGGCCACUUUCCAGAGUGCCAUGGCAAUGCUCUCAUCCACAGAGACAGCAGCUCUCCAAGGGCUUGUUUUCUGCUGCAAGCCAGCUGCCAGCUCCACACACCAAAAACAAAAUGUAGGUGUGGGCCUCUGCAAGUGUCUCAGCCAGACCCUGCCACUCCCGAUAGCCACAAUGUUGUUCCACCAGCUGAGCCUGGCAUGGCCCACAGUCUGCUUUAUUUGCAGUUCAGUUCUGCAGUACAGAUGGAGAGAAACCUCUGCAUUUGCCUCUGCUUCUUUUUCAGGAUCUCUGGGAACUGUUACCAUUUCCGCCCUGCCCUGCUUCCAGGCUGUCAAGCUGCAAACUUUAUAAGCUGGAGGAUGUGGCAAUCUGGCAUGCCAGGAAAGUCACUGUGAUACAUAAAUGGCAACUGUGUCUGAGGACUAUGGAAUCUGUGUAAGAACUCCUACACUCCCAGGCAGAAAGGGAAUGGGAUCUGGGAAAAAAUAAAAUAAAGAUACCCAUAGACCUUGGUGAAGACAGCUGCUGAGAACAUCCCACGAUGCAUUCAUAAAAACUGGUUAGGCAGUGUGGCAGAUGCAGAUGCAAGAACACAGCUGCUAUGUCAGAAAUACUUCCGCAAGGACACAAAUCAAACUCUCUUUCUUGAAGCCAGUCAGUUUAACUAUGCCACUAACAAGCUACAAAAUCACAGUUGUAGAUGUCAUAUGGCAGGAUCUUUAUUCUACUGCUGGAGAUUGGGGAGGGAAAUAAUACUGAAGUAAUCCACCAAUAUUCCUGAAAAAAAAAAAUCAGUUACUUUAACCCUUGACUGCAGCAAACCACCUGAGAGGGUCUGGUUACUUCAUUUUCACCAGAUGGGAUGUUGGAUCAGAAGAAUGAUGACACCGGCCACAGAGGUUCAAUCUGGAUAGUGUUGCAAUGACCAGAAUGAUGUUCCAAGGCUGUGGUCCAUGAUCUUGUGGAGCUCAAAUCAGGACUGCUGCCCUAAGGAGGGUCCACGAGAGCAAUAAUCACUUCAUGCAAGUAUCCAUUUUGAACCUGUCUGAUUCUGCCUGGAGAAAUGGCUUUGCAAUAGCAGACCCCUCAUCUGUAAGAGAGACAUCAGAAGCUUUGACGCUAGAUUAAUCAGAUCUGAGAAUCUUAAUCUUUUCAGCCAGAAAUGCAUGAAUAGUAUCACUGCCAUGCUAUCCUUUAAAUCAUCUGUAUGAUUCUGAGGACCAGUGGGAAGGCAUACAAAGAGAUUGCCCAGCUUUGAGAGAGAGAUCUUCCAUCAAUUUGCAUUCCAGGUCCUGACAUACAGAUGGGUCACCAGGGACUUUAUUGCUCUUUCCAGGUGCAAAGAGGUCAAAUCACCAGGCUAUCAAAUUGUCUUACAAUGAGUGAGGUUAUUUAUGGAUCCAUUCUGUGUAAUCCAACUACUGUCAUGUAAGCCUUGAUACUGAUCUUCCCCUUGGUGGGCAGUGCAUAUAGAGAUAGGAAACUCUGCUCUGCCCAGGACAGGAGAUGUUGAUUGUCUCUCUGAGGAAGGACUGAUCAUGUUUUUCGUAAUUUAUUUAUGAAAAUCUCAUCAGACACAUUGACCAUCAUGACUAAUACAAGACUGGAAGGAGCAGUGCACCAAGACUUCAAAAAAAAUCAUUGUGUUCUAGCCAAUGGAUGCUGUGAUCUCUUUCCUUCUCGUACCUAUUCCCUGGAUUGAAUUGGGACCCCUGUGAGCCAUCUCUAUUAUCCCCAGCUGGCAUCUGACAUAAGGACUACUCUGCUUAGCCCAAUAAUGGGUGGAUCUCUUUGAAAAAAUCUGAUUCUCUGCCUUCACCAGCUGAGGAGGCAAAGAAUAGACAAUGGGACUUUGGACCUCUGCCAACAGAUGUGAUAGAGUGAGAUAUGGAGAGGACUACAGGAGUUACUGGAUAGGACUCAUUCAUCAAAACACAUCUGUACAUGAGAUCACCAUUUCCAAAAAAGCUCCAAGAAGAACUUGAUUUUUAUUUCUGUGACAUCAUUUUUUUAUAGCUACUUCAUCUUCUGUUAACAUUCUUCUGAGAUGAGACCUUGUAUCUGAUAGUAUUCAUCCUCAGGUCAAAUUUAUGGUGGAGUUCCCUCACACCAUGUGUCUGUGUUUAUCAUGAGCCUACCUACCCCACAACCAUAUCACUAUUCGUGCUUGUUUCAACUUUCUCCAUACAGAGCCUUGAUCAGUAAAACUGUCCAGGAAGAGAGAAAAAGUGAAUUUCUUUCUCCCUAAAAAUCAAUAUUUAAUAUUACUACAGCCCUGUAAGAGAUCCUGGGUGGCCUAGCCAUUUCAAAUGGUGAUGACUGAAAAUGCAAAAAAUAAAAAUAAAAAUAAAGUUGCCAUUCAUAUGCAUAA